CAGUCGCCGCGGUAAUACGUAGGUCCCGAGCGUUGUCCGGAUUUAUUGGGCGUAAAGCGAGCGCAGGCGGUUAGAUAAGUCUGAAGUUAAAGGCUGUGGCUUAACCAUAGUACGCUUUGGAAACUGUUUAACUUGAGUGCAAGAGGGGAGAGUGGAAUUCCAUGUGUAGCGGUGAAAUGCGUAGAUAUAUGGAGGAACACCGGUGGCGAAAGCGGCUCUCUGGCUUGUAACUGACGCUGAGGCUCGAAAGCGUGGGGAGCAAACAGGAUUAGAGACCCCCGUAGUCCCUGUCUCUUAUACA
rnacentral:rRNA from 1 species